ACAAGGGCCGUUUUCAAGGCCACAAAUUUAAAAAAGGAAGAACUAU
rfam:Stegodyphus mimosarum contig123020, whole genome shotgun sequence.